rnacentral:lncRNA from 1 species
AUAAUAUUUUAUUCGUCGAUAUCGCCAUAGAACAAUAUAUCGCCGCCGCGUCCCCGAUAACAGCGUAGAUUACACUCGUGACUCUUCAAAUAUUGUCGUUGCCCUGUACGCGCGCCUAAACUCGCUGACAAACGCAAACACACAGACGACCGAUCGAAGAUAAUAUUGUUAUGAUAUUGUUCUGCAAUAUUACACAGUGUGUAUUACAAAGUUUUCUUUGUCCAUGGUGAAGACUGAAGACCGUAGAACGGGAAAAAUCCAGGCGAGGGCGUGACGCGAACUUUUGUUCUACACACAUGGCACGCGUUUUCUGUUAAUUAUUAUAUUGUUGUUAAUUUCUACCUAUUUUUAGAUAUCGAAAUAUUGUUAUUGGUCACCCGACGCUCUCUGUCACUGUUUCCAGUCGCCUAAUACGAACACCACCGAGUCUGCCGCAUAGGUUCCGCGCACGACAAGGUAUAUAAAUUUCAUGGGUAAAUCAUGAAUUGUAUCAGAGAAAAGAUGUUUGCCAGAACUAGUGAAACAUGUACGUUUGCCAUUAUUAAAGCUUGAUAUAUUAUUUGAUAUAUCUAAAGAACCUCUUCUAAAAAAUACUCCUAAAUGUAAAGGUUAUGUAUUUUAUGCAUUACAAAUUAUUCUACUAAAAUCAGGUCAAUAUAUUUCCAUUCCAAUGUAUUUGGAUAAAAUUAGGUGUAAAUCUAGACAGUUUGGUGAUUCAUAAAAAGUAUAAUACCAUUUUAAUUAAUUUAUUUUCACAAUUAUUUAGUCCAUUUCAUUCUAUUAUGGUAUUCUAAUGAUCAGUCGGUCUAAUACAUCGCCAAUGUGUUGUACAGAUUAUGCUAUCAAUUACAGAAUGGAGGUGUACAUAAAUCAAGUUCAAAAUCUAUGUGUAUGCUUGAUGUAUCUUCUCAGUCAUCCUCUUGGUUACUAAUUGUCGGCAUUUUAGUUAGUUGAACACGAUUAGGAGUUGGUGUACUGGAUGAUUGUAUAUAUACAGUUGAUGGCAAGAAUGGUACUAAUAAUUUUAAAGACUGCCGAAGUUUUUGAUGUCAGUAUUCAAAAAUAGCGAUUGGGUGUCUUGUAUGACAACUGAGAGAUAUAAUUUGGGUUUUGGUAUACUCAAUAAUCGUUUAUAUGCGGUUGGCGGUGGUAAUAGAAUAGUUUUGAAAACUGUGGAAUAUUAUGACACUUUGCACAUGCACACCAGCUGCAAAAAUAUCUGUAUGUCGUGAAGGUGUUAAUGUAGGAAUCUUGGAGGGUCUUAUGUAUGCUAUUGGUGGCUAUGAUGGGAGAGUAUCUUAAAAGUUUUUGUAGACCAAGUGAUGGAGUUUGGUCUUCUAUUCCUGAGUUAUGCCGACUUUGUCCUGUUUUAUAUAGGAAUAGUGGCAUUCAAUGGUUUAUUAUAUGUUAUUGGUGAAGAAACUAAAAAAUCUAUUGCCAAUACCGUAGAAAUUACCCAAUUACCAAACUUGGACCAUGGAGUCAUUGUCAUUUUCAAGACAUGGACUACGAAUUUAUAGUUGAGUAGUCGUUAAUAAACCACCAAAUUAUAACUAAUUAAGCUUAUAUGACAAUCUUAUUGUUGGUAGUAAUAUGAACAUCUUAUUAAUUAUAAAUAGUUUAUGAUAAAACGUGUAUUGUUCUAUACAUUU